UCACAAUCAGCAAACCAAACGAACCCUAAGUCCCAUUUCCUCUUCAAGCUAAUCUCCAAUCAGGGCCAUUCAUGGCAGACGCUCGGUCUCUCUUUUUCGGGCAACAAUUAAAUGCCCAUUUGUCUUCUUCUUCAAACGAACGGUAACCUCUAAUUUACCUUUUCUUUUUCACAUUUUCUAGUACAAGAGCAUUGAUGACCUUUGUCAUAUGGGAAUUCAAAUUUUUUCUGAAAAGAUUCAGACUUCAAACGUUAUUUAAAACGAAUUUCUAAUUUUCAAAGUAAAAACUGGAUUCCAAGACAUCUCUAGAAGUCCCAUAUCGUUUUAGGAUUAAAAAACCUAGCCAUUUGUCCCUCUAUAAAUACAGAACCAUUCUAUUCAUUCAGAGGAUGUUUUGAAGAUCCACAAAAAAAAAAAAAAAAGGUUUUUCACAACCUCAAUGGGUUUUUACACCCACAAUGGGGUUUUGACAACCCCAAGAGCUUGAACACUUAGAAACUCGGCUAAGCGUUGAGUUUGAGGAAGUUCUUGCUCACAAUUAAAAGUUUGGUUAAAAGGUUGUACCUCAACUCUCGUCGCCCCCAUCGCUGCUCGAAAAAAGGUACAAAAAUAGCGAACCAUGUUUAGCAAAGCUUGAAGACGAAGUGAAGAAUUGGAUGUUAGAGCUUUGGACGAAAGAACUAGAAGAGCAUAGGCUUGCUAGAGGAUUUGGGCCCAAGGCCGGAAAGCUAAACUUUCUUUCCCUUCCCUUUAUUAUAUGUUUACUUUGGUUUUUGUAUGAACAUGUAAAAAUACAUUUGUGUAGAUAUUGAAACAAGUUGGAACCUAGGAUUUAGGUAAACAAUGUUUCAAAUUGGACUCUCAAGCUAAAUGAAUUGUAUUUAUUUAUGAAAAGUAAAAUAAAUUGAAAAGUUUUUUCUUA